rnacentral:tRNA from 1 species
GGGUCGUUAGCUCAGUUGGUAGAGCAGUUGACUUUUAAUCAAUUGGUCGCAGGUUCGAAACAGCAACGGCCCG